rnacentral:lncRNA from 1 species
GUAGGUCACAGUCUGUUUACACGUCCAGUGAGGUUACAGUUCAUUACCUACAGAGAAACGUUUAGACUGAACUUAAAAUAUGUAAGGAGGCAGCUCUAGGCUAAACUUGAUUUAGCAAUAUAAUCUACUAAUUCUUUUUGUAAUAAAAUUAUUUAAUUUUCAGGUGAUAAGAUGAAGUAUCAGUCAUUGAGAUGUUUCAUACCCAGUAGAAUCUGGGGUGGAUAUUUGCUUUUGUGAAUGGCCUUCACAUUAGGAAGUGCAUUUAGGAAAAUCGGCACUUUUCAAUUUAUUUUUCAGUUCUAGGAUAUAUAAGCAGACAAGGAGGGUCUCUAGGAACCAUAGGAGUUUAAUCCACGUGAGCCAUCAGCCUGAUUUACAGCUUCCUGCCCUGCAGCCUGUUCUUCCCUAAACCCUGGGUGGACUAUAGUAACCUAGUUGGUUGAAACCAGCUCCUGACAGACCCUGGCAACUUAGAGAUGAACCCUGGUGAAUCUUCCUCAUGACUGUAACGUCUCCAUCCUGGAGGAACUGUAGUUCCGUUAUCAUAACAUGUAACCCAUGUGUUGCCAUGAUGACACUGUGUCUGCACCGCUGGGACCCCUCAUCUACAUGCGAUAAUGCACCCUCUCCCCUCUCCAUCACCCCAUAAAACCCUCCUGCCACUUUCCCUCAGGGAGACACUGCUUUGGAGAAUACACCCAGUGCUCCCCUUACUUGAGCCAAGUAAUAAAACUCCUAUUGAUCAAAAUCUGCAUUCUCGUGGAGAGUCGUUUGUUGCUUGACAGGUGAAUGAACGCUGUUUGUUUUUUUCGGAUAACAAAUAUGAGGUAUUAAACAAACAAACAAAAAACCCCAGACUUGAAGCUUUCCCAUAAUAACAACAAAGAGUUUGAGUAAGAAUUCCACAGCUUGCCUUCAUCUGUGGCAGACUUGCAUGAAUCAUUUUCAAAUAAAGAUAAUAACUCAGUUGGUCUUGUAGUCCAAACAAAAUGUGCUACUUCAGGAACAUUCACUUCCUAUGUGGACUUUGCUGCUGAGUCAGUGUGAGACCUUGAACAAGUCUCUGUUUGUUUCGUACCAUUCAGAUUUCCUCGUCUGUAAACAUUAAGUAUCUACAUUCACUAAAAGUAGUUCUGAAUGAAUGUUAUUUAAUGGUGCCAAUGAUGUUGGAGGAUACCUGUGGAAACCUGGAUUAGAAGCAUGUGCUGCUCUCAGACCUGGCCUACAGAGAAGAACUGACACAGACUUCCUUAGAUGUGUUGUCUUCCUGUCACUGGUGCAUUCCUUAUCAAUGUGGGUGGCUCCGCACUCAGCCCUGUGAUCACCUGAGUAAUGGGAAGUCAGUGAGUGCAGUGCCUGCAGAGGGAGCAUGCUUGCCAAUCACCAUCACCCACUUUUGCACUUGUGCCAGAGGAUGUGCCCAAGCCAACCUGAGAAAGAUGAAAGACACAUGGCUCAGACACUCCAUUACCCCAUCCCAGGGCCAUUAACCUGCCAGGCAUAAUCCAAAAUUCUUAUCAAGUUAUCUUCAAUCUAUGCAAGGAAAAUAUUUAUCCCAAAGGAGGAUUUUCAGAAGAUGACACAUGAGGGGCAUUCAUCACAGUCAAGUCUUUUGUUUUGAAAUACGGAAUCUGCAUACCUACUGCUUUCCAAGUUUUGUAAAAAAAAAAGAAGAAAAAAGCAAAAUGCUCUGAGAAUUAUCUAAUUCAUUUUUGCAUAAAGAAUUUCCAUUUUCUAUUUUUCCGUUGUCUAAUUCACUUGCAUAAAGAAUUUUCUUUUUCAUGUUUCAAUUCACAUCUAACAAAUGUUAUCAUACUUUUUCAAAUACUCUUUAUUUCAUUCACUGUAAUUCCAAUUGGCUUAGUUAAUAAUCUUACAUGUGUAAACCAUCCUCAGCCUUUAAAUAAGGUUCUUGUUCUGGGAUUAAAGAAAAAUUUUAAUCAAUCAAUUAAUUACUAAUUGCAUUUUGCAUUUAGCACCUACUGCCUCUGAAUUUUUUAACUGAAAAUAUACCUACUCUUAUAUUUUUAUUUUAGCGUUUAUUUUUCAAGUCUGCUAGUGACAAUCCAAAUUAUAUUUUUUAAUCCAGAUAUUUUUAAUUUAGAAAUUAGGAGAGGAAUUUUGGUAAGCCACACUAUCCUCUGAGGAGCAACUGAAUAUAUUAGAAUUCUAAAUGGUACCACACGAUGGGAAAAAAAUGGCAAAAAUAAUCCCAAAGUCUAUAUUAUGUUGAAAACUUCAAAUGAAAUUCUAAGUCUUCACUAACUGAAUGGACUCAUUUUUGGCCCAGCGGAUGCCAGAAAACCCUUAAGAUUGAAUUCCUGGACAUGACAGGAUGGGCGGUGAGCAGCUAAAUAAGCACUGGCCUGGAGAUAAGCACUAGUGAAAGAAUUUGCAGCUCAUCCACUGCUGGACCCUGAUUAAGUGACCCCCUGUUCCACAAGCCAUGACUCCAGCUUUGACUGGACAAGAGACUGAUUUCAGUAGCUUUUUUUCAUAUAAGAAGACCAUUGACUGUGGAAUGAUUCCAGAGGCUGCACACUGUCAGGACUUCAUGUCCUGAAAAGACCUUUUGACAUGUACGGCCUGAUUGCAAUGCAUUUGAAUGUUGUCUCCACCCUAAAGUGAACAUGGAUCAUAUGUUACAUGCACGUUUGUUCAAUGCCCAUGUGGCAAGACCCCUUGAUGAAUAUUCGUAACUCCUCCUGUAACCUGUUGAAUAUGUAUGUCCUACCCCAACCCCUCCUCCUUCAUGGUGCCUGUCUUUGGUCUUGACUAGAGGCCAACCUGCAGGUUGGCCACCUGGCAGGCUGUAACCCUAAGAAAUAAAAACUUCUUUUCUCCUUUUCAAAAUGUAUAAAUUGUGAUUUCUAUUAAGUCAACAAUGUCCAGGAAUAAUGUUAUUCUUGAGACAGUUUUAUGAUCUGAGCUUUGUUCAAAAACUGGAAAAGUUACAAAGUAAAACCAUAAUUUUCUUUAGUGGGUUAACUGUGUGCCAAUUUAAAUUUAAUUUUUUCAGCUGUGUUGAGGAAAAAUUUAUGCCUCCGAAGCUGCACAUGUAGAAAUUUCACAAUUUGAAGAAUUUUCACAUAUGUAUGCUGGGUGAAACCACACCAUAAUCAAGAUACCCAACAUUUCUACCUUCCCCAAAAGUUUCUUCACACCGUUGUGCAUUCAUCUCUUCAUUCAACCCUUUCUCUGCAAUCAAUGGUUUACUUCUCGUCAGUAUGGAUUAAUUUGCAAUUUCAAGAAUGUUGUAUAAAUGAAAUUAUAGAGCAGUACGUUUUUGUCUGAUUUUAUUCACUCACAGAAUUAUUUCAAGAUCCAUCCAUAUUGUUGCAUGAUUCAGAAGGCUGCUCUUUUUAUAUUGCUGAGUAGUUUUCAAUGGAAUAUACUACAUUUUGUAUAUCCAUAAGCCUAUCAUGUGCAUUUUGGAAUGUUUCCAUUUUUUUGGUAAUUGCAAAUAAAACUGCAAUGAACACUCAUGUAUAAGUCUUUGUAUAGACAUGUAUGGCUUUCUU